rnacentral:rRNA from 1 species
GUGUCUAACUUGUAUGCGAGUGAUCGGGUCUUCUCACGAAACCCGAACGCGCAAUGAAUGUGAAGGCCCUCGUACGAGGUGCUGACGGACGAUCCCCGGUGUACUCCCUCCCUGGUGUGGGACGGCCGGGGCGCAGUCCGGGGGCAUCGGGACCGCUGAAUGCCGGUCUGGUGCACCCAGAGCAUAUACGUUGGGACCCGAAAGAUGGUGAACUAUGCUUGGCAAGGGCGAAGCCAGGGGAAACUCUGGUGGAGGCCCGUUUGGAUUCUGACGUGCAAAUCGAUCCUCAAAGCUGAGUAUAGGGGCGAAAGACUAAUCGAACCAUCUAGUAGCUGGUUCCCCCCGAAGUUUCCCUCAGGAUAGCUGGUGCUCGUUGUGAGAUGAACAAGUUUCAUCCGGUAAAGCGAAUGAUUAGAGGCCUUGGGGGCGAAAUGACCUCAACCUAUUCUCAAACUUUAAAUGGGUGAGACGCCGAGCUUUCUCGAAUGAAGCUGCGGCAGUCGAAUUGCGAGAGCACCCAGUGGGCCACUUUUGGUAAGCAGAACUGGCGCUGUGGGAUGAACCAAACGUCGGGUUACGGCGCCCGAAUGAACGCAAAUCUGAUCCCAUGAAGGGUGUCGGUUGCUCCAGACAGCAAGACGGUGGCCAUGGAAGU